UUUUAUGGAGAGUUUGAUCCUGGCUCAGGAUGAACGCUGGCGGCGUGCCUAAUACAUGCAAGUCGAGCGAACGGACGAGAAGCUUGCUUCUCUGAUGUUAGCGGCGGACGGGUGAGUAACACGUGGAUAACCUACCUAUAAGACUGGGAUAACUUCGGGAAACCGGAGCUAAUACCGGAUAAUAUUUUGAACCGCAUGGUUCAAAAGUGAAAGACGGUCUUGCUGUCACUUAUAGAUGGAUCCGCGCUGCAUUAGCUAGUUGGUAAGGUAACGG
rnacentral:rRNA from 1 species